CUACGGGAGGCAGCAGUGGGGAAUUUUGGACAAUGGGCGCAAGCCUGAUCCAGCAAUGCCGCGUGAGUGAAGAAGGCCUUCGGGUUGUAAAGCUCUUUUGUCAGGGAAGAAACGGCAGUUUCUAAUACAGAUUGCUAAUGACGGUACCUGAAGAAUAAGCACCGGCUAACUACGUGCCAGCAGCCGCGGUAAUACGUAGGGUGCAAGCGUUAAUCGGAAUUACUGGGCGUAAAGCGUGCGCAGGCGGUUUUGUAAGUUUGUCGUGAAAUCCCCGGGCUCAACCUGGGAAUGGCGAUGAAGACUGCAAGGCUAGAAUCUGGCAGAGGGGGGUAGAAUUCCACGUGUAGCAGUGAAAUGCGUAGAGAUGUGGAGGAACACCGAUGGCGAAGGCAGCCCCCUGGGUCAAGAUUGACGCUCAUGCACGAAAGCGUGGGGAGCAAACAGGAUUAGAUACCCGAGUAGUCA
rnacentral:rRNA from 1 species